CCAACAUUCAGCCUCCUCUGCCCAUCAGCCUUGCUGACACAGGGAGUGGAGAUUUGUGUAGAGAAAUGACUCAUUCAAAUAUGACUUAAUCUAAACCGUAAGUGUAUGAUUUAUUAAUGUGCCACCAGGCCUUACACCAAGAGAGCCAUUCCAGAGAAAAGUCCUUUUUCUCCUGAGAACAGUGCCAGCAGCUGGCUUCGUGACAUUCUGGAAGCCCCGUGCAAUGCUGUCAGGAGCAUAGGGAUUUUACUUUAUCUCCCUUGCUUAUGCUCCACAUAACUGAAAUAUCUCACUGGAAGCUGCAGCAGUGCUGGCCCCUUGCACAGCCAUAUGUGACCACUGCAGAACAAUCAGUUGGAGAGACAGUUUGGACUACAUGGAGGGUGGAGAUAAGGACAAAGUGAAGAAUACACAGGAACCAGUGCCUCCUCCUGGAACUAUGCAACUCCAAGCUGCUUCCAUCAGCUGCUAGGUCCAGUAGGGAGGGACCUACUGAGAGAGCUAAUUAAAAAUGUGGUGUCCUGGACUCACGAAGCCAGAAUUGCUGAGGAGAUAGCCCGAGAAUCUGAAUUUUUAGCAGACAUUUUUUUAGGGUGUGGGGAAGAGCGAGAAAAAGAUUUCCGCUCUGGAAGGUAAACAAAUACUCUCUGGAGAGAGAAGAGGAAUGUCCCUAGCAGAUGUCUCCAGAGAAGACAAGACUUUAAAUUCCGCCAGGGAAAUAUACAAUGUCUAACUUCUAAGGCACAUUUGCCAUUCAAUCAUGCUUUAACCCACGUUGCCAGAAAUUUUUGCUCACUAGGUUUUGACUGUACAGGAAUGUGAAAAUAUUCAUGAAGAGUUGUUUUCCAAUGCUAAAGAAUUGAUGUGUUUUAACAGUUGAAUUAAUUGUAUUGAUUAUGAUCACACCUACUUUUUAUAUAUCUUCAUUUCUAACGUUUCUGUACAAUCCUGCCUUUCCACCUGAUAUAGUUAGGCCUUGUGUCAUCAACCAAAUCUCAUCUUGAAUUGUAAUCGCCAUAAUCCCCACGUAUUUAGGGAGAGACCUGGAGGGAGGUGUUUGGAUCAUGGGGGCGGUUUCCCGCAUGCUGUUCUCAUGACCAUGAGAGUAAGUUCUCAAGAGAUCUGAUGGUUUUAUAAGCGUCUGUCAUUUCCACUGCUUGCACUUCUGUGUCCUGCCACCUUGUGAAGAAGGACGUGGUUGCUUCCCCUUCCACCAUGAUUGUGUUUCCUGAGGCCUCCCCAGCCUUGCAGAGCUGUGAGUCAAUUAAACCUCUUUCCUUUAUAAAUUACUCAGUCUCUGUAUUCCUCUGCAGCAGUGUGAGAACAGACUAAUACAUCACCACUUUAUUUACUUUACUCUCUCCCCAUACCGAGGUUUUCUACAUUUUCUUUCUAGGUCUCUACAGUUUCUGCAAAGAUCCUUUAUGGAACUCUUAGGGAAGCUGGGAUGUAUAAUAAAUAAAGGGCUCUUUUCUUUGAGUCCCACACCCAUUUUCUGUGUAUAAAAAUCUUCAACUCCACUUUUGUCUGUUCUAUUUAAAUGUGUGCACAUUUCCUUCUAAUGUUGUAUAUGAAAAAGAGACACCUCUUAGCAGUCUUUCAUAGAGCAAAAUUUUUUACUUUGAUAAAAUCUAAUUUAUCAAUAUUUUUAAAUUUUAUGGAUCAAUCAUGCUUUUGAGGUUGAAUUUAAGAAUGCUUUGCCUAGCCCUAGAUCCCAAGUAUCUUUUAAAAAUUAUUUUUCUAAAUGCAUUAUUUAUGUUUUACACUUAAGUCUAUAAUCCAUUUUGAGUCCAUGUGUAAGAUUUAGGUUAAGGUCAAGAUUUAUCUGUUUUUGUUGUUUUCUCUAUAAAUGUCAAUUGCUCCAGCACUAUUUGUUUAAAAGCCAAUCUUUCCUCCGCUGAGUUCUUCCUAUAAGUUUGUCAAAAGUCAAUUUGGCAUCUUUGUAUAAGUUUAUUUCUGGAUUCUCUAUUCUGUUUUAUUGAUCACUGCAUCUAUCCCUCUUGAUUAGCUAGAUAAUAAAUCCUACAAUAAGGUAGAAUUCUUCCCACUUUAUUCAUAUUCAAAAUAUUUUAAAGCUAUUCUAGUUUCUUUUUAUUUCCAUAUAUAUUUUAGGAUAAUCUUAUCUAUAUUUACAACAUAUGUUGCUAGGAUUUUGAUAGAAUUUGUUUUAAAUUUGUGUAUCAAUGUAGGGAAGACCUGACAUCUUUACUAUUACGUUGAUCUUCCAAUCAAUGAAUAUGGUAUAUCUCUCAGUUUAUAGCUAUUGUCUUUAAUUUAUUUCAUCAUGGUUUUUAGUUUUCAGCAGAGAAGCUUUAUACAUGUUUUGUUAUACAUGUAUAACAAAAGAAGCCUUAUACACUGACAUUUUAUAUUUUGAACAAUUGUAAAUGGUAUUGUUUAAAAAUUUUGUUGUCUAUGAUAGAAAUAAAAUUGAUUUUUGUAGGUUUAUCUUGUAACCUAUGACUUGCUGAGCUCGCUCAUUAGUUUUUUUAUUGUGAUAAAAUAUACAUGAGAUAAAUUUCAUCAUUAUAAUCAUUAAGUUUAGACAUCAAUUGCAUUAAGUACAUAAAUGCCUUAUGCAACCAUCAUCUCUAUCCAUCUCCAGACCCUUUGCAUCACCCUAAAAUGAAACUCUGUGCCCAUUAAACAAUAACUCCCCAUUCUGCCCUCACCCCAGCCCUUGGUAAUUACCAUCCUACCUUUUAUCUCUAUAAAUUUAACCAUCCCAGGUAACUCAUAUAAGUGGAAUCAUGCAGUGUUUGUCCUUUUGUAACUGGUUUAUUUCACUUAGCAUGAUGUCUUCAAGGUUUGCCUAUGUCAUAGCAUGUGUCAGAAUUUCAUCCCUUUUUAAACUUAAAUAAUAUUCCACUGUAGGCAUAUGCCACAUUUUGUUUAUUUGUUCAUCUGUUGAUGGGCAUUUGGGUUGUUUCCACCUUUUGGCUACUGUGAAUAAUGCUGCUGUGAUCAUGGGUAUGCAACUGUCUCCUGGAGUCCCUGCUAUCAAUUCUUGUGGGUAUAUACCCAGAAGUGGAAUUGUUGCAACAUAUAGUAAUUCUAUGUUUAAUUUUUUGAGGACCUGCCAUAAUGUUUUCCACAGUAGCUACAUUGUCUUAUAUUCCCAUUAAGAGUUCCAAUUUCCUCACAUCUUCACCAAUACUUAUUGUUUUCUGUUUUUUUAAAUAAUAGCCAUCAUAAUAAAAGUAACAUGGUAUCUCAUUGUGGUUUUAACUGCAUUUCCCUUUUUACUGGAUUGUUUGUAAUAUUGCUGUAAUUGAGUUGUAGGAGUUUUUAAAUAUGUUCUGAAUAAUUAAUUUCUUAUCAGAUAUGUCAUUUGCAAAUAUUUUCUGCCAUUCUCUGGGUUGUCAUUUCACUCUCUUGAUAGUGUCCUUUGAUGCACAGAAGUUUUGAAAUUUGAUAAAGUUUAAUUUGCGUAUGUAUUUAUUUUGUUGCUUAUGCUUUUGGUGUCAUAUCCAAGAAAUUAUUGCCAAAUUCAGUGUCAUGAAGAUUUUCCCCUGUGUUUUCCUCUAAGAGUAUUAUAGUUUUAACUCUUGCACUUAGAUUGAUCCGCUUUGAGUUAAUUUUAGUAUAUGGGGUAAGACAAGGGCUCAAAUUUGUUCUUUUGUUUGAAGAUUCUAGGUCAUUUGUGAUCUUUAGGAUUUUCUAUGUAGACAUUAAUGUCAUCUUCAAAUAUGAACAGUUUAUUUCUUCCUUUUGUAUAUGUAUGAAUUUACUUUCCUUUUCUUGCCUUAUUGCACUGGCUAGAGUUUUCAGUACUAUGAUGAAUAAAAUCAGUGAGAGCAGACACCCUUGCUUUGUUUCUAAUCUUAGGAGGAAAGCUUUCAGUCUUUCAUCAUUAGGUAUACUGUUAGUUGUAGGCUUAUUAUAGAUGCUCUUUAUCAGGUUGAGGCAGUUUCCUCCUUGGUUAAGACUUUCUAUUUUUCAUUUUCAGUUAUGACCAGGCAUGUUCAUAACUGCUCAUCAAAACUUUGAAUUAGUGGCUGCUUUAACAUCCUUCUCAGACAAUUCUAACAUCUGUUUUGUUGGUGGUGGCAUCUAUCAAUUGUCUUUUUCAUUCUGUUUGAGAUCUUCCUUGCGUUUGGUAUGAUUUUUUUAAAUAUUAUGUCAUGAAACUGCAUCUUAUUUAAAUCUUCUGUUUUAGUUGGCUAUGUCUGACAUCACUUCCCCAGGGGAAGGUGUUGUUACUGCUAGUGGAGGGUGAGAAUUAUGGCUCUCCACUGACAUUGUGGUGGGAUUGGUCCCAUUACCACUGGGCAGGGUUGAAAGUCCUGACUUUCUGCUAGGCCUUCUCUGACUUCAUCGCAGCAGGAGGAAAAGAUGCCUCUGGAGUUGAAGUCAGGUUGCACUGACACUGUGUGUGUAUGGAGGUAGGCUGGGGUGAAAGUGGAGACUCAUUACCACAUGGUGAGUAGUUUCCAGCUCUCUAUUUGGCCUUCUCUGAUACCACCCAGACAGGGACAUUGGGGAUACCUCAUUACAGCCUAGUGAGGGUCAAACUCUAGGCUCCCCACUCAGUCUUUGCUAUCAUGGACACUGUAGGACCAUAGUUUUUUCUGUGCUGUUUGCUUGAUGUGUCUUCCUUGGACCCUGAGUUCCAUAGCUGGUCUGCAUUCCUCUCUCCACCUUUAAGACGUCUUCUUAUGUUUAUUUCAUAUUUAACAUCCAGGGUGGUAAUUAGAGGGAAGAAUAGAGGGAAAAGUACAGUUGCACUUUGUUGUUCAAAGAGCAGUUUUGAACUGCACAGACCCAUUUCUCUGAGCACACCCAGGGAUGAUUGUACUUGUAUAAAAUUUUUUUCCUGGAUGCAGAAUUCUCAAUUGACUGUGAAAGUUCAUAACAAAGAAAACAGUGGGGAAGACAAAUCUGGAAAUGAGGAAAAUAAAAAUUAAAUAGUGAGACCACCCAUGGAGCUUGUGGCAAAGCCUGAAUUGAAUCCGCUGUAUCUUAAGAUUGUGCCUCAUUCUAAAUUUAAGUCACCCUUCUCAUUAUGAAAGUGUCACAACUUCUCAGUAGGUGAGGAGACAGUCUAAAUUUGAGAAAAGAAAGUUACAACAAAGGUUUUGAGCAAGCUGCUAAGUGGAUUUAUUCAUGUUUGAGAAAUCAAAUAUAUGGUUAAUGAGCUCUUUAACUAGAAGCCAACACUAGGGAGGAGUAGACAGAAGUCACGGGGAGGGAGCCCCCGGACAUUUCAAAAGACUUUGCCCUGCAACAUCUCCUCCACAUUUAAGCUUUUAGGUUAUUGUAGCCACAUCACAAGCAUGUUACCUACCCAGAUAUUGUCUGCGCAUCAUUCCCAAAAGCUUCCCUGGGUCUUCAUAAUAUUAAUGAGAUUCUCCCCCAGGUUAGACCCCUUUGGCUUGAGUCAGAAACAGAAUUAAUCCGGGGGACAAUCCAGCAGCACCCAUCUCUGGGUUGCAGAAAUAUCUGAGGUGACCAGGCAGUGUUUGGAGUCCCCUCAGUUAGCUAACAAAGUGAGUUCACAGCUUCCAAGACCCCAGGCUUUCCAGGCUAAUAAAGAGCUGAGGUUAUAGGCUCUCCUUAUCAAACGCUCUUUGGCAGCUGCCAUAACCAUUCCAAGUCUAGUCCUAGAAUAGAAAUGACGCGGUUUCAGGAGCUGACAGAUGGAACUUUAAGCCUUCCUUCCUGCCACAUCUGAAGUUCUUUUUUAAAAAAAUAGAAAACCAUGACAAUAAACACUCCUUGAAUGCCCUGUGGAAAAGUGUACUCCUCAGAAUUCACUAAAGUGGGGUGAAGCAGUGGGUUGUGGUGCUGAGAAAACAUCUCUUCCCCUCGGCAGUAUAUUGGAAUCUCAUAGAAACUUCUGUGGCUGGGAAGCAAACAUGCUCUCUGCCCCAUUGCUCUUAUUCAUCUUUAGACCUGAUAAUACAGUUUGAACUUCAAGUUGCACUUUAAAUGGCAUGCAUUUUUA
rnacentral:lncRNA from 1 species